rnacentral:lncRNA from 1 species
GGCUUUUGAUUAUUGUUGUUGUUGAUCCAAAUGUCGAACAUAGAUUGCUUGGCACUUGAUAUGGUUGAUCUAAUUUUAUGUAUUUAAUGGGGGCUAAAUGCAGCAACUUGAUGAGUUGGAGACAGAGGUGAAGUUGCUGUCAACUGCUGAUAAAUUUUACCAUAUUGCCUUCCCUUCAUUUUUUGCGCCAACUCAAUUUUUAUUGGGGAUGAUCAUUUGACACUGCCUGUUAAAAGUAUGUGAAAUGUUAUGAAAUGCUCUCAUUAAAUAUAAUUUUAUACGAGAUAUUUGUUACCUAUCCUCUUCUUGCUUCAUCUUCCCGCUCAUGUUUUUUCUUUUAUCUAUCAU